CCAGCUGUAGCUCAGAUGGUAAAGUGUCUACCUGCAAUGCAGGAGACCUGGGUUCGAUCCCUAGGUUGGG
rnacentral:tRNA from 1 species